GGGGGUAUAGCUCAGUGGUGGAAUAUUUGACUGCACAUCAAGGUCCCUGGUUCAUGUCCAGGUGCCCCCU
rnacentral:tRNA from 1 species